ACCUGGGUGGCUCAGUUGGUUAAGCGUCUGAUUUCAGCUCAGGUCAUGAUCUCGCAGUUUGUGGGUUCGAGCCCCGCAUCAGGCU
rnacentral:tRNA from 1 species